rnacentral:misc_RNA from 1 species
AAGUCGUAACAAGGUUUCCGUAGGUGAACCUGCGGAAGGAUCAUUAUUACGAGAUCAAAAUCGUAACCCAAAAAACACAUUGUGCAUUUUGUACCUCCCGGUAGCAUUUGACCUUUGGAAAUGAAGGCUUCUUUGAUGUGCACUUUUGUAUGUCAAAGCACUUCCGAGCAGAUGAAGUGAAACCCACACUCGACUCGAUCGAGUGUGUGUUUGGUCUUUUGUCAAAUGUUUCAACUACCGGUUAUCUUAUCUGCUCAGUUUCUAAAUAACAAACCAUUAACCCCAUGUAACUAUUUUGAACUAAAUAACAUCUGCUUGGUUGGUUGGUGCUGUUUUGCUGCUCUUAUGCGGCACAACAACAUCAACUUCCAAGCUGAAUCAAAAACCGAACUUAAGAACAACUCUUAACAACGGAUAUCUUGGUUCUC